GAUGAACGCUGGCGGCGUGCCUAAUACAUGCAAGUCGAGCGAACAGACGAGGAGCUUGCUCCUCUGACGUUAGCGGCGGACGGGUGAGUAACACGUGGAUAACCUACCUAUAAGACUGGGAUAACUUCGGGAAACCGGAGCUAAUACCGGAUAACAUAUUGAACCGCAUGGUUCAAUAGUGAAAGACGGUCUUGCUGUCACUUAUAGAUGGAUCCGCGCCGCAUUAGCUAGUUGGUAAGGUAACGGCUUACCAAGGCAACGAUGCGUAGCCGACCUGAGAGGGUGAUCGGCCACACUGGAACUGAGACACGGUCCAGAGUCCUACGGGAGGCAGCAGUAGGGAAUCUUCCGCAAUGGGCGAAAGCCUGACGGAGCAACGCCGCGUGAGUGAUGAAGGUCUUCGGAUCGUAAAACUCUGUUAUUAGGGAAGAACAAAUGUGUAAGUAACUAUGCACGUCUUGACGGUACCUAAUCAGAAAGCCACGGCUAACUACGUG
rnacentral:rRNA from 1 species